ACCCCGCACUGAAAAGCCUAGAGAGCAUUGCAUAUAAGCCCCAUGUCCAAAACAGAGGUGGGGAUUGCUGCAGGUGCCAGGGAGAGGCGGAGGCUCUUCCUUCCAACCUUCAAGUUGUGUCUUUCUCCCAUAGAAGAGCUGUCCCAAAUUUGUGCCUACAUAUCCCAGAAGCACACUCACCUUUGUCAUUUUUCUUUCUUAGGAAAAAAAAGAUGUCAUGAAACUUGAGUUACCUCUACUGCAGCUGCCCCAUUUUUUAUGGGUAUCAUUUUUACAGCAGGCUGAAUCUCUACAAGACAUAUGCUGGAAAAGCUCUGUAAGUAUGUAUUUGCUUCUAAAAAUGCCAUUCUGAAUUUCACACAGUGAUGACAUCUUUCUGACACAGCAUGUGACAUUGCUGCACAAUUUGGUUCUUCUGGAGAGGCUAAAAAUAAGCAUUCAGCCACUAAACUGGAUUCAUAUUUCAGUCAAGAGUUUUAGUUGUCUCUCCAUUUUGCUACUGUUUCAAUGGUCUAGUGCAGGACUAGAAUUUUCCUAGUGAAGACGAUAGAUGCCAUUUCCCUCUCAAACCUGCAGGAGUAAGACAAGCCGCUGCUAGAGAGUUAUUUGUAACAUGACUGCUGUUUAUCAGUACAAGCAAUGAACCACCUCAUUUUCCUUACUAGUAUUAGGAUAUGAAAGGUAAACCAGGUUCUGUCCCAUCUGCAGUAGCUAAGGAGACAAAUCCAAACUCAGGGUUCUGCUCUGCUUCUUCAGUCCCUGUUACAAAACCAGUUCUCAGUGAUUCAAGGUAUUGCAGCAUCCCCCUUUUGUGGCAUCACCGAAGGCUAACUCCUGACAGAAAAGAAACCUUGGGCCAAGAGAUCGUAUGCAAAUGCUCUUCUGUAGCUAUGCAACAUUACUAAGCCAGACCCAGCAGAAAUUGUGCAACCUUGCAGCCAUCGCUGCAGAAGCACUGGCGUGUCUCACAUCUCAGUAGAAUAAAUCAGACUCUAUGCAGCUUCCUACUGCCACUGCAGAGUUAUUUCUGGCAGCCAAGCCAGCUGGUUUCAAGCAGCAGACAGGAGCGCAGAUGUGUGUAGACUUUCACGAUAGCAACAAGAAAGUGCCAACAGACUUUAUUUGCUUUGUCAACAGUAAGACUGAGAUGAAUUGGAGGUGAGAUUGUAAGCAGGAUAAGCCAGUAAAGUCUUUCAUGAAAGUCUUGCGUGUGUGCUUCAGUGCCGUAUUGAUUGCCCAGCCUGUGAGUAUGAACAAAACAUGGUCAAGCCAGAUUAGCCACAGACUUGCCUGAGCGUAUCUCCCCAGUCGUCUACUGUCACUGUAGCAAUCUCAGAAUUGGGGUUGUCUGAGUCUUUCCAGUUCUUGGCAUGUUGGUCACAUCUGCAUUUUUAGCAGCUAAAAGAGAUUUGUACUAACUCAAGGAACUAAGUUUUUUUUUUGUGAAACUUCACUGGUUGUGGAGAAAUGUUAGGAAUGCUGCUAGCCUCAGUUUCUUUGAACAUAAGCAUUUUAAUAAAGGCUGCCUAAAUGCUCUGUUUGGUCCCCAAGCUACCAAUAUUCCACAAGGUUUGGUUUCUGUUUUCUUUCCCCAUUGAAAAUUAUGAGGUAAGAAAUACAAAUAGGAGUCUCCUCAUUUACGUACACUGCAAUAUUGAGAAGAAUUCUCAACUAUUUUAAACUUUCUAAAGAAAUAAUGUAUUGAGUGUUCUGUGUAGGUGUGUGGGUCUCUACAUUUCUGUGCUGUUUCUGCUUAAAAUGCUGCCAGCCAGGCUAAUGUUCUCAGUGGUGUUUGAGUGAUGGAACAGGGAGAAAAAUGUACUUGGUAAACUGUCAAACAACUCCUUUUCUGGAACUGCAGUCUCUUCAGGAUCCUACACCUGUGUUAGGAACUGGCACUGUUUCUUGUCUUCGCUAGUGAAAAACACAUACUUUUUUUUUUUUUUUUUUGAGUGGUUAACUAAAAUCCCUCUCUUCAUGUGAAAUUCGGCUGAAGACACUAGUUUUUACUUACUUUUUUUUUUAACUUAAAUCAGCUACACUGUAAGUUGAAUCCACCUGUAAUGUCAAAGUAAGGUUUUAGACUGUCUAUAAUGUCAGAAACAUAACCUUGCCUACUUUAGGCCUUUGUGAUGUGCUCUGCAGCUAAUAACAUGAUGUUUGAAAUUUC